UACGUAGGGGGCAAGCGUUAUCCGGAAUUACUGGGUAUAAAGGGUGAGUAGGCGGCAUGGUAAGCCAGAUGUGAAAGCCUUGGGCUUAACCCGAGGAUUGCAUUUGGAACUAUCAAGCUAGAGUACAGGAGAGGAAAGCGGAAUUCCUAGUGUAGCGGUGAAAUGCGUAGAUAUUAGGAAGAACACCAGUGGCGAAGGCGGCUUUCUGGACUGAAACUGACGCUGAGGCACGAAAGCGUGGGGAGCGAACAGG
rnacentral:rRNA from 1 species